GACGAACGCUGGCGGCGUGCUUAACACAUGCAAGUCGAACGGAAAGGCCCCUUUGGGGGUACUCGAGUGGCGAACGGGUGAGUAACACGUGAGUAACCUGCCCUUGACUUCGGGAUAACUUCAGGAAACUGGGGCUAAUACCGGAUAGGAAUCCUUGCUGCAUGGUGGGGGUUGGAAAGCUUCGGCGGGUUUGGAUGGACUCGCGGCUUAUCAGCUUGUUGGUGGGGUAGUGGCUUACCAAGGCUUUGACGGGUAGCCGGCCUGAGAGGGCGACCGGCCACAUUGGGACUGAGAUACGGCCCAGACUCCCACGGGAGGCAGCAGUGGGGAAUAUUGCACAAGGGGCGGAAGCCUGAUGCAGCAACGCCGCGGGCGGGAUGACGGCCUUCGGGUUGUAAACCGCUUUCAGCAGGGGCGAAGCUUGUGGUGACGGUACCUGCAGAAGAAGCACCGGCUAACUACGUG
rnacentral:rRNA from 1 species